rnacentral:rRNA from 1 species
AUUGAACGCUGGCGGAAUGCUUUACACAUGCAAGUCGAACGGCAGCACGGACUUCGGUCUGGUGGCGAGUGGCGAACGGGUGAGUAAUGUAUCGGAACGUGCCCAGUCGUGGGGGAUAACGUAGUGAAAAUUACGCUAAUACCGCAUACGAUCUAUGGAUGAAAGCGGGGGAUCGCAAGACCUCGCGCGAUUGGAGCGGCCGAUAUCAGAUUAGGUAGUUGGUGGGGUAAAGGCCCACCAAGCCAACGAUCUGUAGCUGGUCUGAGAGGACGACCAGCCACACUGGAACUGAGACACGGUCCAGACUCCUACGGGAGGCAGCAGUGGGGAAUUUUGGACAAUGGGCGAAAGCCUGAUCCAGCCAUUCCGCGUGCAGGAUGAAGGCCCUCGGGUUGUAAACUGCUUUUGUACAGAACGAAAAGGUUUCUACUAAUACUAGGAGCUCAUGACGGUACUGUAAGAAUAAGCACCGGCUAACUACGUGCCAGCCGCCGUAAAAC